GUACUCGCUUCGGCGGUACAUAUACUAAAAUUGGAACGAUACAGAGAAGAUUAGUAUGGCCCCUGCGCAAGGAUGACACGCAAAAUCGUGAAGCGUUCCACAUUUUU
rnacentral:snRNA from 1 species